CAAGAACCUUCAAACCUCACAAAGUGACUCCCCUCCAUCCCAACCCUGGCUCAGGAUCCUUUGGCACUGCUGCUCCAGUUCCAAAUUACAGCUAAACUAUUUCAUGGGGACAAAGAAACUGGCAGCAUUGAACAUGAGAUCCAGGAAGAAAAAGCAACAGAAAGACUCAGGAAAUGAAACCAGGGCUAAAUCACAUUAGGUGUAUAAAGGUUGGGCUUUUUAUAAAACAAGAGAACAAUGCAUUGGAUGUCUGAGUGCACAGGAUGGAGAAUCAGGCCCCGGGGACGGAAUGGAGGUUUGGGUACACUGGCGCUGAUCUGCAUUGUCGGUCCUCCAGAGUUGGCAUUGUCUGUGAUAUAUCUGCUAAGAAAUGGAGUGGAAACGUCACAGAGACAGGAGUUUAGGUGUGCCAACUGUUCAUCAUCUCAAGUCCUCACCUCAGUUCUGCAAACAUCUAGACAACUUCUGAAUACCAGAAGACUUCCACAGCAAGAAUAAGCAGUCCCCUUUCUAAGCUGACAGUGGCUUUUGUGCAUAGAAUCCUUCACAUCAAAGGAAGAAGAAAUGUGUUGAUGGCACACACACCAGCUGUUUCCAGGACUGCCCUCUCCUCCCCGCCUGUCUUCUUCCAUGCAUCGAGCUGAGACCAGGGUAUUCACCAGGGAAGAGUUCCUAGAGGACACUCUGCAUCUGACCCACAGUGAACUUGGGUGGGGGCCACUAGGCAGCAUCCUGAUUGGGGACAUGACCCAGUGGCAUAUGUGGGUAAUGAGGUCUAAGGGGGGAAAUGGUUUCAA